UACAGAGGUCUCGAGCGUUAGGCGGAAUCACUGGGCUUAAAGCGUGUGUAGGCGGAUCGGUAAGUACCUUGUGAAAUCCCACAGCUCAACUGUGGAACUGCUUGGUAUACUGCCAGUCUUGAGCCAGCUAGGGGCUACCGGAACAAAUGGUGGAGCGGUGAAAUGCGUAGAUAUGCGGAGGAACACCGAUGGCGAAGGCAAUCCCCUGGGCCUGCACUGACGCUCAUGCACGAAAGCGUGGGGAGCAAACAGG
rnacentral:rRNA from 1 species